rnacentral:rRNA from 1 species
AUUGAACGCUGGCGGCAUGCCUUACACAUGCAAGUCGAACGGUAACAGGUCUUCGGAUGCUGACGAGUGGCGAACGGGUGAGUGAUACAUCGGAACGUGCCCAGACGUGGGGGAUAACGAGGCGAAAGCUUUGCUAAUACCGCAUACGAUCUAAGGAUGAAAGCAGGGGACCGCAAGGCCUUGCGCGUUUGGAGCGGCCGAUGGCAGAUUAGGUAGUUGGUGGGAUAAAAGCUUACCAAGCCGACGAUCUGUAGCUGGUCUGAGAGGACGACCAGCCACACUGGGACUGAGACACGGCCCAGACUCCUACGGGAGGCAGCAGUGGGGAAUUUUGGACAAUGGGCGAAAGCCUGAUCCAGCAAUGCCGCGUGCAGGAUGAAGGCCUUCGGGUUGUAAACUGCUUUUGUACGGAACGAAAAGGCUCUGGCUAAUACCUGGGGCACAUGACGGUACCGUAAGAAUAAGCACCGGCUAACUACGUG